AUAUAAAUAGUAUAAAAUACACGAAUUUUUGAUAUUUGAGAUAAAAGGUUGUUCUUUUUUUAUAUG
rnacentral:tRNA from 1 species